rnacentral:rRNA from 1 species
UACGAAGGGGGCUAGCGUUGUUCGGAAUUACUGGGCGUAAAGCGCGUGUAGGCGGGUCUUUAAGUCAGGGGUGAAAUGCCAAGGCUCAACCUUGGAACUGCCUUUGAUACUGGAGAUCUUGAGUCCGGGAGAGGUGAGUGGAAUUGCGAGUGUAGAGGUGAAAUUCGUAGAUAUUCGCAAGAACACCAGUGGCGAAGGCGGCUCACUGGCCCGGAACUGACGCUGAGACGCGAAAGCGUGGGGAGCAAACAGGGAUUAAGAAACCCUGGUAACGUC